rnacentral:rRNA from 1 species
AUACGUAGGGGGCAAGCGUUGUCCGGAAUUAUUGGGCGUAAAGCGCGCGCAGGCGGUUCUUUAAGUCUGGUGUUUAAGUGCGGGGCUCAACCCCGUGACUCACUGGAAACUGGGGGACUUGAGUGCAGAAGAGGAGAGCGGAAUUCCACGUGUAGCGGUGAAAUGCGUAGAGAUGUGGAGGAACACCAGUGGCGAAGGCGGCUCUCUGGCCUGUAACUGACGCUGAGGCGCGAAAGCGUGGGGAGCAAACAGGAUUAGAUACCCUGGUAGUCCACGCCGUAAACGAUGAGUGCUAGGUGUCGGAGGGGUCCACCCUGCGGUGCCGAAGUCAACACAUUAAACACUCCGCCUGGGGAGUACGGUCGCAAGACUGAA